GCAUGUGCGUGUGCAGUUGCAGCGUUCAAGCUGCGGCGCCCUGUUCGGAUGUACCUCGAUCGGAANNNNNNNNNNNNNNNNNNNNAUCGGAAGACGGACAUGAUCAUGGCCGGAGGGCGGCACCCGAUGAAGGCGAAGUACUCCGUCGGGUUCAAGUCAGACGGCACGCUGACGGCUCUACACGUCGAUCUUGGGAUCAACGCCGGUGUAUCGCCGGACUUGAGCCCUAUGAUCCCGGGUGCCACCAUCGCUUCUCUGAAGAAGUACAACUGGGGCGCCCUUGCCUUCGACAUCAAGUUGUGCAAGACGAACGUAUCGUCCAAGUCCGCCGUGCGGGCGCCCGGCGACGUGCAGGGCUCCUUCAUCGCCGAGGCCGUCAUCGAGCACGUCGCAUCCGUGCUCGGAGCCGACACCAACGCCGUCCGGAGAAAGAACCUCCACAGCGUGGAGAGCCUCACGAAGUUCUACGGCGACGCCGCAGGGGACGCCCCGACGUACAGCCUCAUCGACAUCUUCGACAAGCUGGCCUUGUCGCCGGAGUACCGGAGCANNNNNNNNNNNNNNNNNNNNNNNNNNNNNNNNNNNNNGGUUCAAUGGAGGGAGCAGGUGGAAGAAGCGCGGCAUUUCGUGCGUGCCCAUCACCUACGAGGUGGCCCUCCGGCCGACGCCGGGGAAGGUGUCCAUCCUGAACGACGGCUCGAUCGCUGUGGAGGUCGGCGGCGUGGAGCUCGGGCAAGGGCUCUAUACCAAGGUGAAUCAGAUGACGGCGUUCGGGUUGCGGGAGCUCUGUCCCGACGCCGACGGGCUGCUCGACAAGGUGCGCGUCAUUCAGGCCGACACGCUGAGCUUGAUCCAGGGCAGCUUCACCGGCGGGAGCACCACGUCCGAAUGCAGCUGCGAGGCGGUCCGACAGUCGUGCGCCGUGCUCGUCGAGCGCCUCAAGCCCAUCAAAGAGGGCCUCGAGGCCAAGUCCGGCGCGGCGGCGCCAUGGAGCUCCUUGAUCGCCCAGGCUAAGAUGGCGAGCGUGAACCUGUCGGCGCAGGCCUACUGGAAGCCAGACCCAGCCUUCGUAAAAUACAUCAACUACGGAGCCGCCGUCAGCGAGGUGGAAAUCGACGUGCUCACCGGAGCGACGACGAUCCUGAGGAGCGACCUGGUGUACGACUGCGGGCAGAGCCUGAACCCGGCGGUGGACCUCGGCCAGGUAAGCUCGCCGCCGACCGGCACGGCACGGCACAGCCACCUGAUUGCUUGCUGCUUCUGCAGAUCGUUGUAGUGUGACUCCAUUUUUGGUUCAUGGAUCAGGUGGAGGGCGCAUUCGUGCAAGGGGUUGGGUUCUUCACGAACGAGGACUACGCGACGAACGCCGACGGGCUGGUGGUGAACGACGGCACCUGGACGUACAAGAUCCCCACGGUGGACACCAUCCCCAAGCAGUUCAACGUGGAGCUCAUCAGCAGCGCGCGCGACCAGAAGCGGGUGCUCUCAUCCAAGGCGUCCGGCGAGCCGCCGCUGCUGCUGGCGGCGUCGGUGCACUGCGCGAUGCGGGAGGCCAUCAGGGCGGCCAGGAAGGAAUUCUCUGCCAACUCGCCGCUGACGUUCCAGAUGGACGUGCCGGCGACCAUGGCUGAUGUCAAGGAGCUCUGUGGCCUCGACGUUGUGGAGAGGCACCUCCAGAGCCUCUCCUCUGCCGCCGAGGUCUCGACUCCCGUGGCAUGACGCGGAGUACGUUGUGUGCAAAAAGUGGUCAUGUAGGGUUUUUUUAACAUAAUACAGACACAAGCAUUCAUAUACAACGCGCAUACACUCAUCCCUAUGAACACGUGCACACACCCUACUUUUGAAAGACUAAGCCGACAUAUCAUCUUGAGAUUUAUGAAGCCACCAUAGACGUUUCAUCGUCGAUGGAAACGUGCAAAUCCUAAAAUAAAUCUAAAAAUAAUGCAAGCAUCAGAAUUUAAAACCUUAUUAACCGGGAUUACCACUGUUCUUCUAACCAUCCAACAGUCGAUUUGCAGGUUGUCAUGUAGGUUGGCUGGCAACUGUGUUAUUUAAAAAUGUUACACCUACGGAUGUACGUGUCCAGCUGUGUUACUGUACUUACGCAAAAAUGUUACGCCUAUAUAGGGAUACUAAGCUACGGACCCACAACCUAAAGAACGUAUGUGUCCAGCUAUGCUAUUGUGCUAAUCUCACCCUCCCCAUUUAAAUCUGAACAAUAAAUAUAGCAAUAUAAUAGCUGGCUUAUAGGCCGCUUACAUGAUAUUUUUGUUUUUAUGAAUAAAAGAGAUGUAAAAAAAUUAAGAGAAGUAAGCUCUCAUUCAAAGAUCUAGCUAUGUACUUACUCAAAGAGAAAUACGAUAAAUAUGAGGAAACAGAAAGAGAGAAGCUAGAAAAAAGUACUAAGGUAAUAGUUAACCUUAUAGCGGUAAUUGCUUUUGGAGGUUGAGCUCCAUGAAGGUCUUCAAAUGCAAAAUUCAAGAUUCAUGAAAUUUCAUAUUUUUAUAUUUAAAAAAAACAGAAAUAAAAUAAAAAGAUAGAUAAAAACAUAGCACACAUGUGUGUAAAUCUUUACGGCAAUAUACGUUCAAAUGAGGCAUGUGCAAAAAACAAUGAGGCUUUUUAACACAUGAUACUAUUCAUCCUCGUAGGCCAAGAAUAUUUCUUUCUUAUAGAGAUCGUAUUUCUGUAACUCCGCCUAUGUUGUCUCAGCAUAGCCGGUCCCAAGCCCGGAUAAAGGAGGAGGGUUGUGAUAGGCGUGGCGAGCCAACGUGAAAAACCCAGCCACUCUUAUGGAGAUGAAACCCAAAGGAAACUCGUUGGGGCGUAACCCUCUUAGCGACGCGCCACAUCAGAACCCGGGUGUGGUGUCAAAUGGGCAAGGGCCGGGCCGUCACCCCCUUGGUGGCGCGUCGUAUCUUGAUCUGGAUACGGUGAUAAGUGAGCAAGGGUUGGGUCGCCGCAUCCUUAGUGGCGCGCUGCACCGACGCCCCGGUGUAGUGAAAAAUGAGCAAGGGUCUUCGCAUUUGACUCGACGAGUGCGGAGGUUAAGGAAGUUAGCCGAGCCUAGGAGGAUACGCUUAGGUAGCUGGAACGUAGGGUCCCUGACGGGUAAGUUACGGGAGCUAGUUGAUACGGCAGUGAGGAGGCGUGUUGAUCUCCUAUGUGUCCAAGAGACCAAAUGGAAGGGACAAAAGGCGAAGGAGGUGGAGGAUACCGGCUUCAAGUUGUGGUACACGGGGACAACUUCAAACAAGAAUGGAGUAGGCAUCUUGGUCAACAAGAGCCUUCGGGAUGGAGUUGUGGACGUUAAGAGGCAAGGGGACCGGAUGAUCCUUGUCAAGCUGGUAGUUGGGGACUUAGUCCUCAAUGUUAUCAUUGCGUAUGCCCCGCAAGUAGGCCACAAUGAGAGCACCAAGAGGGAGUUCUGGGAAGGCCUGGAGGACUUGGUUAGGAGUGUACCUAUUGGUGAGAAGCUCUUCAUAGGAGGAGACCUCAAUGGCCAUGUGGGUACAUCUAACAUAGGUUUUGAAAGUGUGCAUGGGGGCUUUGGCUAUGGCAUCAGGAACCAAGAAGGAGAAGAUGUCCUGAGCUUCGCUCUAGCCUACGACAUGGUUGUAGCUAACACCCUCUUUAGGAAGAGAGAAUCCCAUCUAGUGACGUUCAGUAGUGGUCUACACUCUAGCCAGAUUGAUUUUGUCCUCUCUAGAAGAGAAGACAGACGCGCUUGCAUUGAUUGUAAAGCGAUACCUGGAGAGAGUGUUAUCCCUCAACAUAAGCUUGUGGUUGCUAACUUCCGCUUUAGGAUUCGUGUCCAACGGGAUAAGCGCGCCAAAGUCGCUAGAACGAAGUGGUGGAAGCUCAAGGGGGAGGCAUCCCACGCUUUCAGGGAGAGGGUCAUUAAGGAGGGCCCUUGGGAUGAAGGAGGCGAUGCAAACUUGAUGUGGACGAGUAUGGCGACCUUCUUGCGGAAGGUCGCUGUAGAGGAGUUUGGGGUGGAAGUGGAAGGGAAGCUAAGGACACCUGGUGGUGGAACGAUGAGGUCCAGAAGGUUAUUAGGGAGAAGAAGGACUGUUUCACAUGCCUAUUUCUGGACAGAAGUGCAGCUAACAUGGAGAAGUAUAAGGUGGCGAAGAAGGCUGCAAAUCGGGCGGUGAGUGAAGCGAGUGGUCGGGUGAUGGGGUUAUAGUCCUAGGGUAGGGUCAUAGGCCUGCCCUAUGNNNNNNNNNNNNNNNNNNNNNNNNNNNNNNNNNNNNNNNNNNNNNNNNNNNNNNNNNNNNNNNNNNNNNNNNNNNNNNNNNNNNNNNNNNNNNNNNNNNNGGCAUUCCCUACCACAAUGUUCGCAUCAUCACAAGGAGAGCUGGAGGCGGCUUUGGUGGAAAGGGAAUGAAAUCAACCCAUGUAAGUUCAUUCAGACUACACACCAACAAUAAGUUCUGCUUUUCAGUUGGUACAAUUUUCUGAUCAUGUUGCAACUGUUUGGGUUUUCAGGUAGCAUGUGCGUGUGCAGUUGCAGCGUUCAAGCUGCGGCGCCCUGUUCGGAUGUACCUCGAUCGGAAGACGGACAUGAUCAUGGCCGGAGGGCGGCACCCGAUGAAGGCGAAGUACUCCGUCGGGUUCAAGUCAGACGGCACGCUGACGGCUCUACACGUCGAUCUUGGGAUCAACGCCGGUGUAUCGCCGGACUUGAGCCCUAUGAUCCCGGGUGCCACCAUCGCUUCUCUGAAGAAGUACAACUGGGGCGCCCUUGCCUUCGACAUCAAGUUGUGCAAGACGAACGUAUCGUCCAAGUCCGCCGUGCGGGCGCCCGGCGACGUGCAGGGCUCCUUCAUCGCCGAGGCCGUCAUCGAGCACGUCGCAUCCGUGCUCGGAGCCGACACCAACGCCGUCCGGAGAAAGAAC
rnacentral:lncRNA from 1 species